AUGGCGGCGGCGGCGGGGGCAGCGGGACACGGGCGGCGAAGCGGCCCCGAAACCGAGUCCGAGGGGCGCCACAAGUCUCCAGUGUGACCCCAGCUUGCCAGGACGGCACUCUGUGUUCGUCCCCUACCGAUGCCGAGGCGGGGACUGGUCACCUGAGGGGCUGCUCGCCUUUCCCCCUCAUGCCUUCCCCUCCCGCGGGGGUCUGUCUGCUCUCUCUCCUCGCACUGAGCGAAAUCAGGCAGCUCUUAAAAGAAAGCUUCUAUUUGCCAUGAAUGUUGUGUUAUUCCAUAGCUCGACAUCCCGGAAGAACUUCUACUCCUUACAGGAGGCCUUGCCCAGGUCUGCCUGGCGAGCCCUUUGCAUUUAUGUGAUAGGUUCUGGAUAAAGGAAAAGAUAAGCGUGAUCUCCUGGCUCCUUUCUGGCAGCCCAAUUUUUGUAAAGGAUAAGUAUGACCUCCUGCCUUGUCUCUGACAGCCCAAUACUUGUUUAUUGUGUUGCCCCAAAUUCCACUGACUUCCACGAGAAGCCAGGAACAAACCCCAGGUUUUUCCUCUCCGUGCCAUGAGCUGUGUCGGCCCACUGUGAACAGCAGCCUGUUACAACCUGAUAUUGAGAAUGAGGAAACAACAGGGUUGUCAUACCUAGUAGGACGAAGAGGCUGUGGAAACAAACAUGGAGUAAUCCGGUGUCAUGCAGCUGUGAUGGAAGGAUAUCCUGCACAGCUUUACCUGGGGCUUGUCUCUGACUGGAUGCAUGCCAGAUUGUCCUUUGGGAUAUAGCCCAGUGAGAAGGAGAAAUGAGUUUGAACUUGGCAAAAUGGCAAUAAAU